UGCCAGACUCCUACGGGAGGCAGCAGUGGGGAAUAUUGCACAAUGGGGGAAACCCUGAUGCAGCGACGCCGCGUGAAGGAUGAAGUAUUUCGGUAUGUAAACUUCUAUCAGCAGGGAAGAAAAUGACGGUACCUGACUAAGAAGCCCCGGCUAACUACGUGCCAGCAGCCGCGGUAAUACGUAGGGGGCAAGCGUUAUCCGGAUUUACUGGGUGUAAAGGGAGCGUAGACGGCAAUGCAAGCCAGAUGUGAAAGCCCGGGGCUCAACCCCGGGACUGCAUUUGGAACUGUGUAGCUGGAGUGUCGGAGAGGCAGGCGGAAUUCCUAGUGUAGCGGUGAAAUGCGUAGAUAUUAGGAGGAACACCAGUGGCGAAGGCGGCCUGCUGGACGAUGACUGACGUUGAGGCUCGAAAGCGUGGGGAGCAAACAGGAUUAGAUACCCCGGUAUUA
rnacentral:rRNA from 1 species